AUUGAACGCUGGCGGCAUGCCUUACACAUGCAAGUCGAACGGCAGCACGGGAGCAAUCCUGGUGGCGAGUGGCGAACGGGUGAGUAAAGUAUCGGAACGUGCCCAGUCGUGGGGGAUAACGUAGCGAAAGUUACGCUAAUACCGCAUACGAUCUAUGGAUGAAAGCGGGGGAGCGCAAGACCUCGCGCGAUUGGAGCGGCCGAAAUCAGAUCCGGCAGUUGGUGGGGUAAAGGCUCCCCAAGCCGACGAUCUGUAGCUGGUCUGGGAGGACGACCAGCCACACUGGGACUGAGACACGGCCCAGACUCCUACGGGAGGCAGCAGUGGGGAAUUUUGGACAAUGGGCGAAAGCCUGAUCCAGCCAUGCCGCGUGCAGGAUGAAGGCCUUCGGGUUGUAAACUGCUUUUGUACGGAACGAAAAGGUUUGGCCUAAUAAGCUGAGCUCAUGACGGUACCGUAAGAAUAAGCACCGGCUAACUACGUGCCAGCCGCCGCCGUAAGAC
rnacentral:rRNA from 1 species